UGGGGAAUUUUGGACAAUGGGCGCAAGCCUGAUCCAGCCAUGCCGCGUGCGGGAAGAAGGCCUUCGGGUUGUAAACCGCUUUUGUCAGGGAAGAAAUCUUCUGAGUUAAUACCUCGGGAGGAUGACGGUACCUGAAGAAUAAGCACCGGCUAACUACGUGCCAGCAGCCGCGGUAAUACGUAGGGUGCAAGCGUUAAUCGGAAUUACUGGGCGUAAAGCGUGCGCAGGCGGUUUUGUAAGACAGAGGUGAAAUCCCCGGGCUCAACCUGGGAACUGCCUUUGUGACUGCAAAGGCUUGAGUGCGGCAGAGGGGGGAUGGAAUUCCGCGUGUAGCAGUGAAAUGCGUAGAUAUGCGGAGGAACACCGAUGGCGAAGGCAAUCCCCUGGGCCUGCACUGACGCUCAUGCACGAAAAGCGUGGGGAGCAAAACAGGAUUAGAUACCCUGGUAGUCCACGCCCUAAAACGAUGUCAACUGGUUGUUGGGAAGGUUCCUUCUCAGUAACGUAGCUAAACGCGUGAAGUUGACCGCCUGGGGAGUACGGCCGCAAAGGUUGAAAACUCAAAAGGAAUUGACGGGGUCAUAGCUGUUUCCU
rnacentral:rRNA from 1 species